rnacentral:tRNA from 1 species
UCUCUCGUGGUGUAGGGAUAACGCACCUAAUCUUAAGAACAGGGAGUCGUGAGUUCGAUUCUCACCGAGAAGA